rnacentral:rRNA from 1 species
AUUGAACGCUGGCGGCAUGCCUUACACAUGCAAGUCGAACGGUAACAGGUCUUCGGAUGCUGACGAGUGGCGAACGGGUGAGUAAUACAUCGGAACGUGCCCGAUCGUGGGGGAUAACGGAGCGAAAGCUUUGCUAAUACCGCAUAAGAUCUAAGGAUGAAAGCAGGGGACCGCAAGGCCUUGCGCGAACGGAGCGGCCGAUGGCAGAUUAGGUAGUUGGUGGGGUAAAGGCUUACCAAGCCUACGAUCUGUAGCUGGUCUGAGAGGACGACCAGCCACACUGGGACUGAGACACGGCCCAGACUCCUACGGGAGGCAGCAGUGGGGAAUUUUGGACAAUGGGCACAAGCCUGAUCCAGCCAUGCCGCGUGCAGGAUGAAGGCCUUCGGGUUGUAAACUGCUUUUGUACGGAACGAAAAGACUCCUUCUAAUAAAGGGGGUUCAUGACGGUACCGUAAGAAUAAGCACCGGCUAACUACGUGCCAGCAGCCGCCGUAACAC